rnacentral:lncRNA from 1 species
ACUCACCACCCAAAGAAAUCCAUUCAAGGGAUACAGAGUUUGAUGGAAGAAAACUCACCACCCAAAGAAAUCCACCCUAGGGAUACAGAGUUCUAGUGAUCACCACUCACAGACAAUCUUCCUGAGAUAUAGAGCAAGAACACGCUCACCACCCAAAGAAAAAAGCCUAGAGAUACAGAACACCUAGAAGACGAAAAACAAGCUAAAGGCUUAAUUCCUUAAUUCACCCAAACUCGAAUUAAAUUCACUCUAAAAACAAAACAUAGGGCAUGUUUUUAUAUAGGCACAUUUGGAAUGCUUUUUAAGCAAUUACAAAUAAUCCUAACUUAGGGAGAAAGACAAAAUGCCAUAAAUAGGCAUUCCCUAAGUAGGCAUCCAAUAAGAAAGAAAAACACCAUAUAUUGGCAUUCUGUAAAAGUCCUAAACCUGAGGAAAAAGAAAAAGACCAUAUUUAGGAGUUCUAAAAUUUGCCUUUGCUUAGGCAUGAACCAAAAAUAAAUUGUCAUAGAAAGAAUUUCUUUUUGGCUCUUCCGGUUGAAAAGGACUCUCCUUAAGCACCUGUGUCAAAAUUGCCAUAGACAAAAUUUCUUUUUGGCUCCCCUGGUUGACACGUCGCAACACCUUGAAUGGACCAUCAGCUCGAGGCAUCAUUUUUCCAUACUUCCGAGUUGAAAAACGCUCCUUUCGAAGAUGAAUCCAUACCAAAUCUCCUUCCUUGAAAGUUGCCAGCUUACGAUGCUUAUUGGCACUAGCACGAUACUUCUCGUUUUGCUUGAUAAUCUUCUCUCUAAUUUGCUCAUGCAUCUUCUUAAUAGCCUUGGCUCACUCAUCAGCAUCUCCGCUGAAUUGUUGUGUUGAAGGAAUAGGAGCCAAAUCUAUGAGGCUAAUUGGAUUAAGGCCAUCACUGCUUCAAAAGGAUUGCAACCAGUAGUUUAACUUGUGGAACAGUUGUAGGCAAACUCUGCCUGAGCUAACAUGAGAUCCCACUGACGAAUGUUUUUAUUGACAAGACUCAAUAAAUUUUUCAAGCUUCAAUUAAUAACUUCAGUUUGGCCAUCGGUUUGAGGAUGAUGUGACGUGCUGAAAAGUAACUUCGUUCCAAGCUUUCUUCACAAAGUGCGCCAAAAGUGACUCAUGAACUUGGUAUCUUGAUCCGAGACAAUCAUUUUUGGCACGCCAUGAAGUUGCACAAUCUUCUAAAAGUACAAGUCAGCUACAUGUGAAGCAUCCACGGUCUUGCUACAUGGAACAAAAUGCGUCAUCUUCGAAAAACGAUCAACAAUGACCAUGAUAGAAUCCUUGUUCUUUUGUGUCCGUGGCAGCCCCAUCACAAAGUCAAUGCUAACUUUCUCUCAUGAUGAAUUUGGAACUGGUAAUGGAGUAUACAAGCCUGUGUUUUGCCCAUGACUCUUAGCUAUAUGACAAGUCUUGCAUCGCUCCAAGUGUCUCAUAAGAACUCCAUUCUAGGCCAGUAGAAAUGAGACGCCACCAACGAAAGAGUUUUUUCUCUCGCCCAAAAUGUUCAGAUAGGCCACCUCCAUGAGCUUUUAGAAUCAUUGCCUCCUGCAUUGAGCAUUGAGGAAUGCAUAACUGAUUGCCAUUGAAAAAAAAUCCAUCCUGCAAGACAAAAUGAUUAAAUGGCCCUUUCAUGCAUUCAGUUAGAAUAGUACCGAAAUACGGAUCAUCUUGAUAUAGCUCCUUGAGAACUUCAAAGCCUAAGACUUUCACUUGCAUAGUAGACAACAAGAAAUAUCUUUGACUUAGUGCGUCGGCCACCUUAUUCUGAAGUCCGGACUUAUGCUUAAUGGUGAAUGAAUAGGUCUGCAAAAGUUCCACCCAUUAAGUAUGUAGUCGAUUCAAUUUGUGUUGCCCAUUGAUGUACUUCAGUGCUUCAUGAUCAGAAAAGAGAACAAAUUCUUUGGGUAAAAGAUAGUGGCUCCAGUGAUCCAAGGCUCGCACGAUAGCAUAGAAUUUUUUGUCAUAAGUAGAAUAUCGCCUCCGAGACUCACUCAACUUCUCGCUGAAAUAGGCUUAUCUUCUUGACUAAGGACAGCACUAAUGCCCACAUUAGAAGCAUCACAAUCUACUUCAAAUAUGCUUUCGAAAUUCGGCAAUGCUAAUAUAGGAGCUUCAGUUACCUUCCUCUUCAAAACCUCAAAACUCUUUUGAGCUUCUUCAGUCCACUUAAAGACUUCUCCUUUCAAGCAAUCAGUGAUAGAAGAAAUAAUAGUACUGAAAUUUUUCAUAAAUCGACGAUAAAAUGAAGCUAACCUAUGAAAACUUCGGAUAUCAUGAAUAGACUUCGGAAUAGGCUAGCUUGUGAUCGCCUCCACCUUGCUUGGAUCCAUCUUGAUUCCAUUACUUGAGACUACAAAGCCUAGGAAGAUGAGGCUAGUAGUGCAAAAGUGACACUUCUUCAAGUUCGCAUACAUCUUUUGCUUCCGAAGCUUCUCAAAAACUUGAGGAAGACGCAUCAAGUGUUGAUCAAUGUGUUUGUUGUACACUAAAAUAUCGUCAAAGUAAACCACAACAAACAAAUCAAUAAAAGGUUUAAACAUAUGAUUCAUAAGGCACAUAAAAGUGCUCGAAGCAUUCAACAAUCCGAAUGGCAUAACCAUCCACUCAUACAAUCCAUCCCUUGUCUUAAAAAAAGUCUUUCACUCGUCUCCCAACCUCAUUCGGAUCUGAUGAUAACCGCUCCUAAGAUCUAUCUUAGAAAAUAUACAAGCACCAUGCAAUUGAUCAAGCAGGUCAUCAAGACGUGGAAUUGAAAACCGAUACUUGAUUGUGAUCUUGUUCACUGCUCUACUAUCAAUGCACAUACGCCAAGAACCAUCCUUUUUAGGCACAAGAAAAGCUGGAACCGCACAAGGGCUUAUGCUUUCCCUCACUUACCCCUUAGCAAUCAACUUGUCUACUUGCCUUUGUAACUCUUCUUGCUCCUUAGGAUUCAUCCUAUAUGCUGCCUUGUUUGGGAGACUAGCACCGGGUAUGAAAUCAAUGCAAUGUUGUAUGUCUCUCAUAGGUGGUUGUCUAGGUGGAAUUUCAUCAGGAACAAUGUUAGAAAAUUCAUGGAGCAAAGUAUUCAUGAUAGUAGGCAACUCACGCUUCUCCUCAUUCUCCUCUAUAACAAGGGCAUAGGUUCUACGAGAUUCCACUAUGGCCUUUUCAACUUCAGUUUUGGACAAAAGGUUAUUUUCCUCCCCUUUAGAAGGCUUGGGAUUGCUCUCUAUCUUAGUAGGCCCUAACAUAAUCUUCACCCCAUCCUUCAUAAAGGAAUACGUAAUUUUGAACCCAUCAUGUAUCACCUUUCUAUCAUAUUGCUAUGGACGACCAAGUAAUAAGUGACAAGCAUCCAUAGGUAUAACAUCACAAAGCAACUCAUCGGAAUAUUUCUUGCCAAUAGAAAAUUGAACAAGGCAACGCUUGUGAAUCUUUACCUCAUUACCCUUGCGAAGCCAAGAAAGCUUGUAUGGUUGAGGAUGAUCUUCCUUUUUGAGCUUCAAUUUCUCCACCAUUGUUGUUGCUACAACAUUCUCACAGCUCCUUCCGUCAAUGAUUACAUCAUAGACUUUGCCAUAAGAAGUGCAUCGUGCAUGGAAGGUGUUGCGAAGCCACUUGUCAUCUUCUACAUGUGCUGCACUCAAGCUCCUACAAACAACCAGAGAUUCUCCUUGAUCGGCAUAAACCACUUUCUCUUCUUCUACCUCCUCAUCAUCUGUUGGUUCACCCAAAUCUUCGGCUUCACCUUCAUCUUCCUCCACAAGAGAAAUAAUUUUAUGGUUAGGACAAUCAGAUGCAAUAUGGCCUAUACCUUGGCAUUUGAAGUAUCGAUGACCGGAAGGAGGUAGGAAACGACUAGAACCAGGUGCUGGAUUUUCUGCUUUAGAAGGAAUUUUUGACAAGGACGUCUUGGUGGAAUUAGUCUUGGAAGGUCCAGCACGCUCCAGAUUAAAAGGAGUGUCACGACUUGUAGCGCGAAAAACUCUCCUACAAUGCUCCUUCAUUUGCUUUUCAACCUUGCUGCAAGCUUGCACACAUCGUUAAAAGUCUAAUAAGGUUGCAAUUCUACCACAUCACAAAUUUUACUCCGUAACUCGUCAAGAUAACGGGCCAUGGUUUGCUCCUCAGGCUCCUCAACAUCACACUGCAACAUGAGAUACUCAAACUCAGUGGUAUAAUCUUCCACGGAUAAUUCUUUUUGUUUAAAAUUAUGAAAUUUGAGAAAAGCAUCUUUCCUGUAAUUAUCUGGAAGAAAUUUCUGUCUCGGCACCUUUCUCAUCUUUUUUCAUGAUACAAUUCGCCUUUUCUCUUCACGUGCCCUAUGUUUCUUAAUAUGCUCUCACCAGAUAGAGGUGUGUUUCUUCAACUUGAUGGCUACAAUUUUCACCUUGCAAUCUUUUGGUACAUCUUUUAUUCAAAGAUGCGCUCCACCGUAUGCAACCAAUCAAUGAACUCAUCAGGAUGCGCCCUUCCUUCAAAAUCAGGAAUAUCAACUUUGAUGUCAAACUCUCGUUGAAACUCGCGAUUCCUUCGAAAACGAUUUGAUGUUGGGCUAUGAUCACGAUGAAAAGGAUUGGUCUCCUCUUCCUCAUCAUGUGAAUCUUCUUUCUUUGAUUCCUGAUUUGGGAUAUUAUGUCUCAAAGUUUGAAGACGCGCCAAAUUUUGUUGAAGCCGCUGCACUUCUCUCCGCAGUUCUUCAUUCGCAGCAUCAGGAAGAUCCCACUUGCGGUUUGGUCCUUCAACUUCUUGCCCUCUUCGACCACGACCUCGAGUAGCCAUGACAACCUGGGACACUUUGAUACCAAAUUUGAUGCUGGAAAACAUAGAGGGGAAAGACAACAACGAACACUCCAACACCAACCAGAAAUUUGAUAAUAGUGGUAAACCCAAAAUCCCCAAGAACAAAAACAAUGGAUGGAUAAAAACUCACCACCCAAAGAAAUCCAUUCAAGGGAUACAGAGUUUGAUGGAAGAAAACUCACCACCCAAAGAAAUCCACUCCUAGGGAUACAGAGUUCUAGUGAUCACCACUCACAGACAAUCUUCCUGAGAUAUAGAGCAAGAACACGCUCACCACCCAAAGAAAAAAGCCUAGAGAUAUAGAACACCUAGAAGACGAAAAACAAGCCAAAGGCUUAAUUUCUUAAUUCACUCAAACUCGAAUUAAAUUCACUCUAGAAACAAAAUAUAGGGCAUGCCUUUAUAUAGGCACGUUUGGAAUGCUUUUUAAGCAAUUACAUAUAAUCCUAAACUUAGGAAGAAAGACAAAAUGCCAUAAAUAGGCGUUCCCUGAGUAAGCAUCCCAUAAGAAAGAAAAACAUCAUAUAUUGGCAUUCCAUAAGAGUCCUAAACGUGAGGAAAAAGAAAAAGACCAUAUUUAGGCGUUCUAAAAUUUGCCUUUGCUUAGGCAUAAACCAAA